UACGAAGGGGGCUAGCGUUGCUCGGAAUCACUGGGCGUAAAGGGUGCGUAGGCGGGUCUUUAAGUCAGGGGUGAAAACCUGGAGCUCAACUCCAGAACUGCCUUUGAUACUGAAGAUCUUGAGUCCGGGAGAGGUGAGUGGAACUGCGAGCGUAGAGGUGAAAUUCGUAGAUAUUCGCAAGAACACCAGUGGCGAAGGCGGCUCACUGGCCCGGUACUGACGCUGAGGCACGAAAGCGUGGGGAGCAAACAGG
rnacentral:rRNA from 1 species